UACGUAGGGUGCGAGCGUUGUCCGGAAUUACUGGGCGUAAAGAGCUCGUAGGUGGUUUGUCGCGUUGUUCGUGAAAACUCACAACUCAAUUGUGGGCGUGCGGGCGAUACGGGCAGACUGGAGUACUGCAGGGGAGACUGGAAUUCCUGGUGUAGCGGUGGAAUGCGCAGAUAUCAGGAGGAACACCGGUGGCGAAGGCGGGUCUCUGGGCAGUAACUGACACUGAGGGACGAAAGCUAGGGGAGCGAAUGGG
rnacentral:rRNA from 1 species